rnacentral:rRNA from 1 species
AGUGAACGCUGGCGGUAGGCCUAACACAUGCAAGUCGAACGGCAGCACAGUAAGAGCUUGCUCUUACGGGUGGCGAGUGGCGGACGGGUGAGGAAUACAUCGGAAUCUACUUUUUCGUGGGGGAUAACGUAGGGAAACUUACGCUAAUACCGCAUACGACCUACGGGUGAAAGCAGGGGAUCUUCGGACCUUGCGCGAUUGAAUGAGCCGAUGUCGGAUUAGCUAGUUGGCGGGGUAAAGGCCCACCAAGGCGACGAUCCGUAGCUGGUCUGAGAGGAUGAACAGCCACACUGGAACUGAGACACGGUCCAGACUCCUACGGGAGGCAGCAGUGGGGAAUAUUGGACAAUGGGCGCAAGCCUGAUCCAGCCAUACCGCGUGGGUGAAGAAGGCCUUCGGGUUGUAAAGCCCUUUUGUUGGGAAAGAAAAGCAGCAGGUUAAUACCCCGCUGUUCUGACGGUACCCAAAGAAUAAGCACCGGCCAACUUCGUG